AGGAGUACGUAGGCAGUUUGUCGAAAGGCAAAUUCAGCUGUCCCCCCUCAUUAAAAAGGGGGGGGGGAGUGGGUACGUAUACUCGUAUACUCCCAAAAAAUCGAAAAAACUUCUUACCACGCUCUAGGUGUUUUCGACUUAUCAAAACAUCCUCACCCGUAAAAUCAGAACGAGGUCUUCGGAAAUUAGUCGGCCGCUUGGGAAAAGCAAUCUUUAGCAUCGCGAGACGUCGCGAUUGGUGCCUCAAAGUUUAUUCCUUCCGAGCAAACGAAACCUCCGUCACAAAAAAAAAACGACAUAUAUAUGCACACACUAACACUUAUUUUGCGCAAAAUAAUCAAAAUAAUGGCACGCGCCACCAAGUCCGAUGCUGAUCACAUCGAACUCACAAACGUCCUAAACAGACAUAGCCAUCUCACGGAGAUGACUCUCUUACAUCCGACACAAGGAUAAUAGCGCUAUAAAAGAAAUCCGAAAUUUUGGUCUAGCACUUCCGGUCUCCGGAGAGAUGCUUGAUUCGUAUCAAACAAGUCGUAUAAGCCGAGAACUUUUCGCGGACUUUACAUCGAUACGAAUCAGGAAGAAAUCGCGACAGGAAAAACGAUAGCCGGUUAGUCACCGCACAAUCCUUAAACCGAAAGUAAACCUAGGUCUUGCCCUAAACCCAGCGCACUGGUCUCUAACAUCUCAAAGGCAUGAUAUCGAAAGAUAGGAGAUUCUUAAACCAUGCCUCUAUGUUUAUGUUCGACACCUUCAGCACCCCCGCGGAGUUCACAUCUCGCGGAAGAACUCUCGAAACAGAUCUCGAAUAAAACAUUUCACAAUCGAAGAAGGAUAUGAGACGACAACUCAUCACCUUCUUCCCCGCUAUUCACAAAUUCAUAAAAAAAAAACGUUAUUCGAUUAUCGUACCAUAAAAAGAAAGCCGCGGAGCGGCAGGGAUUCAAAGCCACACACGGCCAGUCCCGAAAUACAAAAAAGGCCAUUCAAGGCCGAAACAUAAAAACAUAAAAAAAAUCUCUCGCAAGAGAUCUAACCCAAGUCACCCUCAGAACUUACACCCCCGCUUCACCUGCUGCCUCGUCCGAGCCUGGAGCCGCGUCGCUUCUGUUCUCUCCGACCAUCGGGUCUUUCCCCUCUAGGUCUUCUGAACACGUCGGAAGGAAGCAAGCAGAUUUCAGGUCAGCCAGGAUGAGAUCGAAAUCUCCAUCCUCGGCCGCCAUAUCUCCCUUGCAGCCGGACAGUCGGGCCUCUUCGGCCUCCAAGGUCGGGGGAGUCUCACUUUGGAACGACCGAACCACGGCCAUCCCGC
rnacentral:lncRNA from 1 species